CUUUGCACACGGUUUCGGCGUCUGCGUAUAAAAGGCGAAAAGCCGGUGCUGUGGUACAAUUCAUCCCUCUCUUCGCUUUAUUUACGUACUAGUGUCUAGCUCAGAGAACUUCUCUCUAUUCUUAACUAUGGCUGAUGUUGAAAAGACCGGUUGUUGUGCUGAAGCCAAGGAAUGUGCUGCUGACAACUGCAGCACCGAAUGCAAAACUAAUUGCCACGAUGGAAAAGAAGAGUGCAAGGACAGUUGUCACAAGAAGCCUUGCGGUUGUAAGGGUACCGAAGACUGCAAAUGCUCUGAAGGGAAAUGUGGGUGCUAGCAUACGUGCAAUUUAAGGGAACGUUUCCACUUGACGUUCACAGCUAGCUAUUCGCACUUUUGUGGGUCCAUGGUAUUUUAAGUUUGCCGCAAAUCAGCACGCAAUGAAUAGCAUUUAUAGUUCAAUUUCUUUUUAUUUCUAAUUCUUAAAUGUUAUAUUUUUAAGAUCAUUUAAGCGUAUACGUGACUAAUUUGUUGAUUGUGGCUACCUGUAUUUGAAAUUAUCACCGUAUGUUAUACUAUCAGUUUGUUGCAUUUGUCUCUAUGUACCACGCAUGCGCCUAGUCGAAAUCCAGUUAUUUCAGUUUCUAAGAAUUAAAUGGUAUCAUAAAAUAAAAUUCAUUAUUCUUUGUCUGUA